GAGCCGAACACGAGCUGGGAU
rnacentral:miRNA from 1 species